rnacentral:rRNA from 1 species
GCAGCCGCCACGGGAAUACAGAGGGUGCGAGCGUUAAUCGGAUUUACUGGGCGUAAAGCGUGCGUAGGCGGCUUUUUAAGUCGGAUGUGAAAUCCCUGAGCUUAACUUAGGAAUUGCAUUCGAUACUGGGAAGCUAGAGUAUGGGAGAGGAUGGUAGAAUUCCAGGUGUAGCGGUGAAAUGCGUAGAGAUCUGGAGGAAUACCGAUGGCGAAGGCAGCCAUCUGGCCUAAUACUGACGCUGAGGUACGAAAGCAUGGGGAGCAAACAGGAUUAGAUACCCUGUAGUCCCUGUCUCUUAUACA